UACGAAGGGGGCAAGCGUUGUUCGGAUUUACUGGGCGUAAAGGGUGCGUAGGCGGCCUGACAAGUUGGAUGUGAAAGCCCAGGGCUCAACCCUGGAAUAGCAUUCAAAACUGUCAGGCUCGAGUGUGGAAGAGGAUGGUGGAAUUUCCAGUGUAGAGGUGAAAUUCGUAGAUAUUGGAAAGAACACCCGUGGCGAAGGCGGCCAUCUGGUCCAUAACUGACGCUGAGGCACGAAAGCGUGGGGAGCAAACAGG
rnacentral:rRNA from 1 species